rnacentral:rRNA from 1 species
UACGGAAGGCAGCAGUGGGGAAUAUUGGACAAUGGGCGAAAGCCUGAUCCAGCCAUGCCGCAUGAGUGAAGAAGGCCUUCGGGUUGUAAAGCUCUUUUAGUGAGAAAGAUAAUGACGGUACUCACAGAAGAAGUCCUGGCUAACUCCGUGCCAGCAGCCGCGGUAAUACGGAGAGGGCUAGCGUUAUUCGGAAUUAUUGGGCGUAAAGAGCGCGUAGGCUGAUUAGUAAGUUAAAAGUGAAAUCCCAAAGCUUAACUUUGGAAUUGCUUUUUAAAAACUGCUAGUCUAGAGAUUGAAAGAGGAUAGAGGAAUUCCUAGUGUAGAGGUGAAAUUCGUAAAUAUUAGGAGGAACACCAGUGGCGAAGGCGUCUAUCUGGUUCAAAUCUGACGCUGAGGCGCGAAGGGCGUGGGGAGCAAAACAGGGAUUAGAUACC